rnacentral:lncRNA from 1 species
AUCAACAGUCAUUAAGAUAUAUUCAUUUUUGAAAUAGUUUGGAAGUAGUCCCAUGAAAUUGAUAACCCACACAUCAAAAAUCUCAACAACUAAUUGGGCCAAUAGAAUCCAUCUUGAAGAAUUUUUACAGUAGUUUUCUUGGAUCCAAAGUGACCACCAUAGGCUUGGUCAUGACAAAAAGAUAAAAUACUUUUGAUCUCAUGGUCCG